UGUAAGCGUAUACCAAAGUUGUUGCAGUUAAAACGCUCGUAGUCGGAAUUUGGCAGUUCCGGAAGUGUGCACGUCGUGUGCGCACUUUGCGGGGACUGCUUUUGUGGUCUUGCGUAGGAUGAGGCACUUUCAUUAGUGAACGUCCUCACGCAACCACUCUUUACUGUGAGAAAAUCAGAGUGCUCAAAGCAGGCAUUUGCCGUGAAUGUAUUAGCAUGGAAUAAUAGAAUAGGACUCGGUUCUAUUUUGUUGGUUUGUUGGGACUGAGUAAUGAUUAAGAGGGACAGUUGGGGGCAUUUGUAUUCCGGCGCUAGAGGUGAAAUUCUUAGAUUGCCGGAAGACACACUGCUGCGAAAGCGUCUGCCAAGGAUGUUUUCAUUGA
rnacentral:rRNA from 1 species